UGCCCAGCAACUUCUAUCCCUGCAUCCCCGUGGCACCGGCCGGAUUUUAAGCAAUGCCAUUCAGGGAAGA
rnacentral:ribozyme from 1 species